UGCCAGUGCAAACGGGGCACCGCUGCUCCUCACUGGGUCUCGUUUUCCUCCUGGAAAUUGGCAGCCGGGGUGAACGAACUCACUUUGUCUUGUUGAGGAGGCCGAGGCCCGCCUCCAGACACCCCACCCGUUAGGAAACCUUCCUGCCCGGUUCUCCCCUACACCGACCCCCAGCCUCAACGCUGCCUUGCUGUGUGACAUCAGAUCAUCCCGGCAGUGAUGCUGCCAGAUGUUUCACGGCUGUCCCAUGGCAUCAAGGGCCCGGCAGAACUAAGACACGUGAAUACCAGUGCGCCACGUGUGAGCCUGCACUCCUCUUUAGUAAGUGAUUUCUGUAAAGUCUUAAUUGUUCAGGUUGAAAAAUGUUCAAACGUGUGUUCAAGAGAGCUGAAGCCUGAUUUGUUCUUUUCCUAGAAGUCAUCACCUUGCGUCUUGCUGGUACGCCCUGAUGGAAAAGGCUCUGUGCCCCUGCGAAGAACAGUCCUGUGUUGUCAGCCUUUGCAUUCUCAUGUCUGAUUUAAUGACCAGAAAUCACAGUGACUUGGAGUCUACCCCUGCUCACCUUGGCCUCUGUCAGAUUCUGAGCCUCCUGAGGCUUUGCUGAAGAGCAGAUUAUUGUAGGAGCUGUAGACAGGCUCACAUCCGCCUAGUUUUUCCUUGUAGCAUGUGUCAGCUUCAGAUUCCCAAGCUUUAUCCCAGGCCUCCUGACUCAGGAGCUGGGGUAGCCUGGGAAUGUGUAUUUACAUACACAUAAUUUCUGAAUCAUGCUUUGUUACAAUGUUAACCUGUAAGGGACUCUAAAAUGCAGCCCUGGUUAUAAAGCAUCUGACUAGCACAACUCUUGAUGUUUUCCUGAUGAGGAAGCUGCAGCCCAGAGAGACAGUGACCUGCCUGAGAUAACACAGCAAGUCAGUGGCCGCCUUGCCACCACAGCACUCUUCUGGGUCUC